rnacentral:rRNA from 1 species
UACGGGGGGGGCAAGCGUUGUUCGGAAUUACUGGGCGUAAAGGGCUCGUAGGCGGCCAACUAAGUCGGACGUGAAAUCCCUCGGCUUAACCGGGGAACUGCGUCCGAUACUGGAUGGCUUGAGUAUGGGAGAGGGAUGCGGAAUUCCAGGUGUAGCGGUGAAAUGCGUAGAUAUCUGGAGGAACACCGGUGGCGAAGGCGGCAUCCUGGACCAUUACUGACGCUGAGGAGCGAAAGCCAGGGGAGCAAAGCGGG